AUUGAACGCUGGCGGCAGGCCUAACACAUGCAAGUCGAGCGGCAGCGGGAAAGUAGCUUGCUACUUUUGCCGGCGAGCGGCGGACGGGUGAGUAAUGCCUGGGAAAUUGCCCAGUCGAGGGGGAUAACAGUUGGAAACGACUGCUAAUACCGCAUACGCCCUACGGGGGAAAGCAGGGACCUUCGGGCCUUGCGCGAUUGGAUAUGCCCAGGUGGGAUUAGCUAGUUGGUGAGGUAAUGGCUCACCAAGGCGACGAUCCCUAGCUGGUCUGAGAGGAUGAUCAGACACACUGGAACUGAGACACGGUCCAGACUCCUACGGGAGGCAGCAGUGGGGAAUAUUGCACAAUGGGGGAAACCCUGAUGCAGCCAUGCCGCGUGUGUGAAGAAGGCCUUCGGGUUGUAAAGCACUUUCAGCGAGGAGGAAAGGUUGAUGCCUAAUACGUAUCAACUGUGACGUUACUCGCAGAAGAAGCACCGGCUAACUCCGUGCCAGCAGCCGCAGUAA
rnacentral:rRNA from 1 species